GAUAAAAUGGCUGAAAUAUAGGCUGUAAAUUGUAAAUUUAUAAAUGGUUUUAACCUUUUAUCA
rnacentral:tRNA from 1 species